UCCUACGGGACGCAGCAGUGGGGAAUAUUGCACAAUGGGGGGAACCCUGAUGCAGCGACGCCGCGUGGGUGAAGAAGUCAUUCGUGACGUAAAGCCCUAUCAGCAGGGAAGAAAAUGACGGUACCUGACUAAGAAGCCCCGGCUAACUACGUGCCAGCAGCCGCGGUAAUACGUAGGGGGCAAGCGUUAUCCGGAUUUACUGGGUGUAAAGGGCGUGUAGCCGGGCUGACAAGUCAGAUGUGAAAUUCCGGGGCUCAACCCCGGACCUGCAUUUGAAACUGUUGGUCUUGAGUAUCGGAGAGGCA
rnacentral:rRNA from 1 species